CACGUAGGGGACGAGCGUUGUCCGGAUUCAUUGGGCGUAAAGCGCGCGUAGGCGGCUCGGAAAGUCGGGCGUGAAAUGCCGGGGCUCAACCCCGGGACUGCGUCCGAUACUUCCGAGCUGGAGGUAGGUAGGGGAGAUCGGAAUUCCUGGUGUAGCGGUGAAAUGCGCAGAUAUCAAGAGGAACACCUGAGGUGAAGACGGGUUGCUGGGCUGACACUGACGCUGAGGCGCGAAAGCUAGGGUAGCAAACGGGG
rnacentral:rRNA from 1 species